rnacentral:lncRNA from 1 species
UUCCAUCCUCAACCUCCUGUUCACAGGGGGGGCUGGACGCGCGUGCGGCGUCCAUACCGUGGAUGGCCACACGGCGACUAUCCGGCGAUGCCCCUGCGAGGAUAAAGCCACCCCGACCCCCCUCUGAACCCUAGGUCGACCUUUCCCCCCCUCCGUCACUCUUCUCCUUCGACUUCUUCGUCGCCCGAAGAAACCAUCGUCGUGAUGUCGUCGUCUUCGCGGCCAGGAGCUUCUCCGAGCCACGAUUGGGUGUCCAGGAGGUGCGCUGCAUCCAUCUACGUCGACUACAAGGAGCGAUUCAACUGGAAUCGCACUGCGCCCAUGCAUCGGCCGAUCUCCUUCGUCUACGGCCGCCGCACCUCGCCGCUCGAUCCGCCCGUCUUCGACCACCUCCGGCCUCCCCGACCUCGCCUUCGUGUUCAUUGUGAGCUCCUCCUCCAUUCCCCACUAAUUUCCGCCUCGAUUCGUCGGCGUAGCCAUCUUCCGCUUCCUUCCGUGGCCGCGCUCGGAGCUCUGCUCCCCCGUGCGCCUGCUCACGCUCGUGCUCACCUUGCACCGGCCGCGCCUCGCAGGCCUCCUGAUGGCGCCACAGUCGCGCCCCCUGCGCGUGCCCGGCGGCCUGUGCGUGUCCGCGUCCCCGCUGCUGCUCCUGUCGGCGCGCUGGUGCGCCAUGGCCUUACCCCGCUGCUGUGGCUGCUUGCUGCUGCGUAGUGCCGUUGCUUGCUGCUGUUCUUGCCGCUGCUCUUGCUGCUGCCCUCGUACUGCUCCUGCCGCUAGGUGCCCUUGCUGCUCGAGUUGUGCUGCUGCCACCAGGUGCCGCCGCUGCCUGCUGCUGCUGCUGGCCACGGCCAUGGCCGUUUGCGUCAGUGUGUGUGCGUGCGGUGUGUGUAGUUGUGUGUGUGUGUGAGCGCGUUGUGUGUGUGCGUAUGUGUGUGGAUGAGGCCGAUCCUAGUUAAGUAGGUUAGCUAAUUAGUAGUUAGGCUAAGUAGUGGUUAGGUAUAGGGUAAAUAACAUAUGGGACCAUCCUGGUUAAUUACCAUUUUAUUAGACGAAAGACAAUGACACAUGGGACCCACUUACACUAUUCAUGUGUUGGCCAGUCAACCUUUGACCGGGUCAACCCAACCCCAUUGGCCCCAUUGUCAUAAUCACAUGCUAGGGUAGCACUAGGUGACAAAAAUAUUUUCUGCUUUUAAUUCGAAUUAAAACAAUUUAAAAAAGAUAAAACUUUGAAAAUUAAUAUAAAAUAAACCGUAGCUCGGAUAGAAAAACUUUGUACAUGAAAGUUGCUCGUAACGACGAGACGAAUUCGAAUACACAACCCGUUCGUCCGCCACACAUCCCUAGCAUAUCGAACACGCAACUUUUCCCCUCCAAUUCAUCUGUCCGAAAACGCGAAACACCUGGAAUACUUUCCCGAAUGUUUCCCCCCUUCGUCGGUAUCACCUACUACCGCGUUAGGGCACACCUAGCACCGCGUAUUGCCAUGUUACGCUUUGUGAUGCUUUGAUUGCUUUGUUAUUUAUUGUGUUCCCCCUCCGCUACUUCUUUCCGGUAGACCCCGAGACUGCCAACGACCCCAGUUCGACUACACCGAAGAUGACCCCUCCUUCCCGGCUGAGCUUCCAGGCAAGCCCCCCCUUGAUCACCAGAUAUCGCCUAUUCUCCUCUAUACUGCUUGCAAUAGAGUAGUGUAGCAUGUUACUGCUUUCCGUUAAUCCUAUUCUGAUGCAUAGCCUGACAUUGUUGCUACAUUUGUUAAUACCUUACCUGCAAUCCUAAAUACUUAGUAUAGGAUGCUAGUUUAUCAUCUGUGGCCCUACAUUCUUGUCGGUCUGCCUUGCUAUACUAUCGGGCCGUGAUCACUUGGGAGGUGAUCACGGGUAUAUACUAUACAUAUAUACAUACUACAAAUGGGGACUAAAGUCGGGUCAGCUCGUUGAGUACCCGCAAGUGAUUCCGAUGUGGGGGCUGGAAGGACAGGUGGCUCCAUCCCGGUAGAGGUGGGCCUGGGCUCCCGACGGCCCCUGACUGUUACUUUGUGGCGGAGCGACAGGGCACGUUGAGACCACCUAGGCGAGAGGUGGGCCUGGCCCUGUUCGGCAGCCGCGGUUACUUCAUAAUAACACGCUUAACGAGAUCUUGGUAUUGGAUCUAAGUCUGGCCACUGGCCUAUACGCACUAACCAACUACACGGGAAACAUAUGGGCACUCGACGUCCUAGUAUCAGCCGAAGCCUUCGUGACGUCAGCGACUGAGCAGCGUGCGCCGGGUUGGACUGCGUUAACGCAACUUCCUUUAUAAUGGAGGUUGCUAGGUCUGCUUCCGGCCGUGUACGCAACGUGCAGGUGUGCAAUGGGCGAUGGGCCCAGACCCCUGCGCGCAUAGGAUUUAGACCGGCGUGCUGACCUCUCUGUUGUGCCUAGGUGGGGCUGCGACGUGUUGAUCUUCCGAGGCCGGGCAUGACCUAGGAAAGUGUGUCCGGCCAAAUGGGAUCGAGCGUGUUGGGUUAUGUGGUGCACCCCUGCAAGGAAGUUUAUCUAUUCGAAUAGCCGUGUCCCUCGGUAAAAGGACGACCCGGAGUUGUACCUUGACCUUAUGACAACUAGAACCGGAUACUUAAUAAAACACACCCAGAGAAGUUCCACAGACAACCCGGUGAUCGCUUUUCCAUAGGGCGACGAGGGGAGGAUCGCCGGGUAGGAUUAUGCUAUGCUAUGCUACUUGGAGGACUUCAAUCUACUCUCUUCUACAUGCUGCAAGACGGAGGCUGCCAGAAGCGUAGUCUUCGACAGGAUUAGCUAUCCCCCUCUUAUUCUGGCAUUCUGCAGUUCAGUCCACUGAUAUGGCCCUUUACACAUAUACCCAUGCAUAUGUAGUGUAGAUCCUUGCUUGCGAGUACUUUGGAUGAGUACUCACGGUUGCUUUGCUCCCUCCUUUUCCCCUGUAUCCUCUUCUUCUCGGAUGCUGCAACCAGACGUUGAAGCCCAGGAUCCAGACGCCACCGUCGACGACGACUACUACACUUGAGGAGCCUACUACUACGUGCAGGCCACUGACGACGACCAGGAGUAGUUAGGUGGAUCCCAGGCAGGAGGCAUGCGCCUCUUUCGAUCUGUAUCCCAGUUUGUGCUAGCCAUCUUAUGGCAACUUGUUAACUUAUGUCUGUACUCAGAUAUUGUUGCUUCCGCUGACUCGUUUAUGUACGAGCACUUGUAUUCGAGCCCUCGAGGCCCCUGGCUUGUAAUAUGAUGCUUGUAUGACUUAUUUUACUUUUAGAGUUGUGUUGUGAUAUCUUCCCGUGAGUCCCUGAUCUUGAUCGUACACAUUUGCGUGCAUGAUUAGUGUAUGAUUGAAUCGGGGGCGUCACAAGUUGGUAUCAGAGCCGACUGCCUGUAGGAAUCCCCCUUUCCAGCUCCUUGGCUGAAGUUGAGUCUAGUCGAUGAAAAUUGUUUUACUAACUUGGCUGUGCGGCCCAUGGGCCCACGUCGCCAAUUGGGUGGUAUUAGGAUCUUUUAUUCCUCGACCUAUACUCUGGGACUCUAAUCUCUCCUCUAUUCGGGUUAAAUGAUUCUAAAUCUGACUCUAGGUUCUCGUAACUACUUUCUCCCGGAGAGCCCCUAAUCACAUAUGAUCACCUACUGCGUCAGAAGAUUUCGAAGGUACUCUAGGAUGUUCUCCCGAGAUGCUUGUGCCCACCGCCUUUGCAAAUUCCCUACCACUGUUAUAUCCUUAUGGAUAACUGCAUGCACCUGCCAUUCUUACAUUCGAUCCCAUUGAGCUUGUUAUUACAAGGUGCAAUGAACUGCUCUUCGUUGUUCCAAGAAUCCUUUGAGCUUACUGCCUUACGGCUCUUUGCCACAAGAAUACCCAUAUGGAUAAUUCCUUGCACUUAUCGAGUAUCCGCUCCUUCUUAGUUGUUCAGGUGUUUCACAUAAGCCUUCGAACUAUUAUUUGAUCUUUCAAAAAUCCUCAACAGCCUAUUGUUCUUGAAAUUCUUGCUUGUUUGCAUUUUGGUUAAUCCCAUAAGCAUAAUAAUCUUAUUGGCAUCCUUUGUCACUAUCAUUUUUGAGUCCAUUAAUUCAAUAAGUUGUGAAUGUUCACAAUCAUCAGUCGAAUCCUAAGAUUAUCCUUCCGGCUCAAAUGACAUUUGGAUAUGAGCUGGUUCUUGACCAACAAAUGCCUUGAUCGGUUGUGCUUCUAAGCCUAUCGAACUUAUUCAUUUUCAAUCAGAACGAUUGCUUCUGAUCCCUUAAUUUGGAAAUAAUAAAAUUCUUUGCAUUAAGCUUUGAAUUAGUCAGUUGUUUCUACAAUCUGAUGCCUUGGCAUUCCUUCUUCCUCUGAUUGAGUACCGAUACUCACAUCAGCCCCGUUGUGGACCGCCAUACCCAUUACCGGGUUAUUAUCCGACAGUCUCCUUCACAACCAAAAUUCUUAUGAGUUCCUUACUCGAUACAUAAUACCUUUGGUAAAUUGUAUCCUCUACUUUUGUCAACCAUGCUCUACUUUUGAGCUUGUGUUAUUUACUCCCGAAGUUCAUGGUAUAUGUUCUAAGAAGCCCCGAUGGGUUGAACCUAUGCCUUCCUUAAUCUGUGUGAACUCGUAAGUUUUCACGGGUCAUACUCCUCUGGUAAUUCACCAGGUAGGUUUUGACACUGAAAUCAUUUUUAUCUAGAGCAGUGAAUGAAAGGUUAUGCAUUGAAGAAGUGGGAGUCGACCUUGAACUUUGUGUUCAUGCCCAUGAACAUGAUGUAGAUCCUAUCAUGGAAGCUACUCUUAAAUUAAUUAUUCCCUGGGUAUAAGUUCAUCUUAUAUCUGGGAUAUAGUCUUUUGCAAUCUUUGUUCCGGCCAUAUUGAUAUUCUUUGAUUCCUUUUCUCGGACAAGUUGAAGUACUUGUCUUCUGCAGAUCAUUACACCUAUCCAACCUCUAUUCUGCUCUACCUUUGAGUAUACCCUCUGGUAUCUCGAGAAUAUCACGGAACAACAUAACUUCUUAUGAGUUCUUCUUCAAGUAUUAUUUCACAUCGAUUUCAAUUUCGCCUGGGUUCUGAGUUGUUAGACACUCAAGGACACCGAUAAGUGAAUCAAUUCCGCACUCCGAUUCAAUAACUCUAAGUAAUCUUCGUUGCUUAUGAGCUUAUUAAUCCUUCAAGUCAUUCAUAGCCUGAUCGGCUAUAUCAAUAUCGUGCAACUUUUAAUUUUGCUACCUGGUCCUUCUUCUCGAAGCACAAUUUUCGACGAUGAGCUAAGCUUACGUCAACUUUCCUCGUCAUAUCAUUUUGCCUUGAAUAACAAGCUUGAUUCCGAGUGUCUGUCGUACCCGUGGUUUCAAUAACUUUUCGCUCCAUCCUUCCUUUUGCUUGAUGUCGUCGAUGAGCGAUAAUAUCUUAAUGAAACCUCUCAAUAAAUGUGCCAUGAUCAUCAUCAACAUUCUGAGCUCUUCAAGGAUAUUGAUCGAAUUCAUGUUGAGAAAUACCAUCCUUGCCCCUCGAUGAUUUGUGUUAUCAUCGACAACAUCCUUGUCUUCCCUCGACACAAAUGUGUUCUUGUUUGGGAUUGGAUCUUGAGUUCCUUGCUAUCCAGCAUUUGUUCUUCUUUACCUUGGAGUAUUACCAUCUUUUAUGUCAAGAAUGUCAUGAGGAUUACUCCACCUCUUAAGAAUUCUUGGUAUAGUGAUACUUCUCACCAUCACCAUUCUUUCUUGGUUCCCGUGUUGAUUCUAACCGGGGUACCAACAAGUGAACGGUGCUGUUUGGAUUCUGUACUUCUGGCAACCCUAAUGCUUUGAAGUUAAUGAUCGAUAGUUCAUUCUUAGACCAAUGGUUAUCGAAUUACCAUUCUAACCUUGAUCGUGCUAUCGAGCCCAUAUUUCGGGUGCAACUUUCAACCGAUGUUUAAAUAUGUAUGUUUUGCUCGAGCAUAAAUCAUUAUAUCAUUUGAUCUAACAAAUGAUAUCUCCUUGUUCACAUAAUUGUGGAAGUACAUCUUUUGGGAAUCUCGAUGAGUUGUCGCUGAGUCCAUCAGCCACCUCCUUAUCCUCUCCUUAGUUUAAUGAUGAACUCUCGUUUCGGAACUCACUCCCAUAGUUCAUUCCCCGAGUCUGAGAUAUCCUGACACCAAUCAGAUCUGAAUCUCGGUUAGGUAUGAUGAUUGGAACAUAUUUCCAAGAGUUAUAACAAUGGUCUUUAUGUGACCCGGUAAGGUGUUGUCGUGCCUAGCACACCUGGCCGGAGGCCUAUUGUUAUAGAUUCCUUUUCAGCAAGGUUAUCCAUUCUUCCAUGAGGAAACUGUAAGACUUAUUCUAUUAGUUUAUCCUGAUGGAUCCUUUGUGUAUCCAAAGUCUGACCUUUGCUUGAAGACCUUGUCAAUGCUAUCUCGAAGCAUGUCUGUGGUGCUCCGAUUUUCAAAAAGAACAUUUGAAGCCCAAUGCUAAAUAUUACUUGCUCAAUUAUCCAAACACCAUUGCAUUGGUAAUGUCAUGAAAUUUCUCUCCUCUCUCCUAAAGAGUUUUCUACAUUAUAUCCUGCCAAGGUUAUCAUGCUCUGCUUGUCCUUGGGAAGGGUAUACCCCUGAUAUAUGUGUUUAAACACAUUUUUCUUUCCAUUGUUCCAAUUACUCUGAUAAUCAUAUUUUCCUUUCCAUUGUUUGGUUUAACCUUUCUUGUGAGCUAUAUGAUCUAAGCGGUAAUAUUCUCCUGAUUAUGAACACACCUCGGUGUACAAUUCUGUCAGCAAGACGUUGUUGCUAUUGUUGAUGACAUUCCGGUAGCCACCGCUGGACGAGAACUUUGCCUAUUGGUCCGCAUCGUUCAACGAGCAGGAAAAUGGUUCUCUUCGUUCCCUCGCCCUUGGUACCGACGUUGUUGCCGACAUAGCUGGCAGUCUAUUCUCCGACAUGCCUUGCUAUCAUGAUCGAGCAUGAUGUCAUCGCUACUUCUACUUUUAACCCACAUGAUGGGCCCAUAACCCAUAGUUCCACAGGAUCGAAACCUGACUCUCUUAUACACCCCCUGUUGCCAAAGUUAUCCCUUAUGCUUGGCUUCGUAUGUAAUUCACGAGCUAAUUUCCCUGCCAUAUUUCAUUCCGGUAUCGGAUGCAACAUUUUUCUUCAUUGCUCUGAACCCCUUUCACACUCUGUUUCAGGCAACAAACGAUUGCCUGACCGCUUGAAACUUCCCAUGAUACCUCUUUACAUUGCUACCGAUAUUUUCUUAAGUUUCAAUUCGAGAGCUACUUUCCGCCACCUUCCCUGAUGUUAUCGACCAGAUAGUCAACCUUGUAGAGGUCUAUUCUCUCGGAAUACCCACCCCUUUAUUCUUUCGUAAGUACAAUGGAAUUCCCGAAGAAAGAAUGUCGACUUCAUCACGAUGACCUGAAGCAGAGAAAUGAAGACAUCAACGUAAUGGAUCGACCUCUUCGAGAAGAGCAACCAAGACCGAGAAGAUCCGUUAGAAUUUUGCAACCACAACUUUCCCCCUUACUCCACCGCUUAAAUCUCGGGACGAGAUUUCUUGUAGUGAAGGAGAUUUGUAACACCCCGGUAGUUGAGCUACAGUAACCUCACCCUAAUGGGCCAUGUCAUCGUGUUAAAUUAAGCCAAAUUGCCACUUGAUGAAGAUCAGAGUCAAAUUCAAAUUUCGAAAUACAAGACAAACUCUUAUUUCUUCAAACUGUCAAAUAAAAAUGUUCGAUAUGUUCCAAAUAUUCACUAACUAAUUUUCAUGUGGGAAUCAACAUUUAACAGAAUAUUAGAAUGCCCCUAAGCAUUUUAAAACUACUCCAGCAACAAUUAUAUGGGGCUUUCUACUUUAAAAUAAAUAUGAAUGCUUCUCAAAAUAAUUUGAAACUGCUGGUGCUAACUCAAUACCUUGCCUAUUAUUAUUGUGCUGAAUUGCAUACUUAACUAAAAUCAUUUGUUAGCUCAAUUAAAAAUAAAACUGUAGGAAACGGAUAAACAGAAUAAGGAAAAGGAGAAAUAAAAAGAAACCAAUAGACCUAAACCUACAUGACCACUUGGACAAACCAGCAGAAAGGAAAAGGCCCAGCCCAUCACCACUUCCAUCCUCAACCUGUUCACAGGGGGUGUGCUGGACGCGCGUGCGGCGUCCAUACCGUGGAUGGCCACACGGCGACUAUCCGACGAGGCCCCUGCAAGGAUAAAGCCACCCCGACCGCCCUCUGAACCCUAGGUCGACCUUUCCCCCCCUCCGUCACUCUUCUUCUUCGACUUCUUCGUCGCCCGAAGAAACCAUCGUCGUGAUGUCGUCGUCUUCGCGGCCAGGAGCUUCUCCGAGCCACGAUUGGGUGUCCAGGAGGUGCGCUGCAUCCAUCUACGUCGACUACAAGGAGCGAUUCAACUGGAAUCGC